rnacentral:rRNA from 1 species
AACGAACGCUGGCGGCAGGCCUCAAACAUGCAAGUCUAGGGGGUGUAGCAAUACAUCACCGGCGGACGGGUGCGUAACGCGUGGGAAUAUACCUAUUGGUUCGGAACAACACAGGGAAACUUGUGCUAAUACCGAAUGUGCCCUUACGGGGAAAGAUUUAUCGCCAAUGGAUUAGCCCGCGUCCGAUUAGCUAGUUGGUGAGGUAACGGCUCACCAAGGCUCCGAUCGGUAGCUGUUCUGAGAGGAAGAUCAGCCACACUGGGACUGAGACACGGCCCAGACUCCUACGGGAGGCAGCAGUUGGGAAUCUUGGACAAUGGGGGGAAACCCUGAUCCAGCCAUGCCGCGUGAGUGAUGAAGGCCU